UGGAAUUGCAAAAUAGCCACUUCAAUGAUUUGGGCUCAAAUGGCAACCACAAUAAUCAAUGCUAAACUCAUCCCUCCCGCCAAUACUUGCGAAAUAAACCAUUAAGUCUAUGUAACAUGCUGGCUUAUAGUGUAAGAAGACCUUGCAAUUACAAAAAGGAUUUGGCUUUUCACUAUAUUGUCAUUCUGUUAGAAUGCUAAACAUUUACCAAUAUCACCAGUAGCUAAACUUCUCUAUUAACAUUGGCUUAAAUACAAGAUAAAUUAGAUUAUCCAGGAUUAGCACAACAAAAAGGGACAAAAUAUUCUCAUGUGCUUCUACAUUAAAAUUUCAAGAAGCUUUCUUGUCACUUUGCUUCUUCAAGUCUUGCACGUAUGGUUUCAGGGCUUGACAGUUUGUUGAUGCUGCAAGACAAGGCAAAAUAUGAUGUCAAGCAAAUUAAAGCUGCAUUUAUCUUCUGAUAGUAAUUUAUGUAUCUGUGCUUUCAGUUGCCAUUGGAAGAUUUUAGCACAAUCAUUUUUAAGGAUAAAAAGCUCCAAGAAAUUACCAGAAGAGUAAAUCCCCACCAGACGCCAAUUUCUCAGAGAUCCAUUCGGGAACUAGCUCAAGCAGCAAUUUUAGCUGCUCUUCAACUUCUCUUCUAUCAACAAUAUCAGAAUGACUUGCAAUUAUCUUGUGUAUAAGCUCCUCUUUUGUGAUCACUGAUCGUUUUAUUGACUGAAACAAGAAAUGAAUCAUGUUGAAGAGCUUUGGCAGGCAGGCAAUCAUCUGUCGCCGCUUCUUUGCUUGUGAGACUGCAGGAUCUCGCUCUUCUUGGGCCUUCCUUUCUUUUUCUCUUAUUGAUUGCAGAAGACUCAAAGGGAGAAUAUUCAAAAUAUCAUCAUCAUCAUCAGCUGACACAUCCUCCAUAUCAUUAAGUUCAUCCCCAACAUUCUUCACAGGAGUUUCAAAUUUUAGAGACCUGGUUCGUGAUGGACGCCUUGUGAGCUUGUCUGCUAAGACAGUGGUAUCAUCAUCUGGGCUCAUAUAACAUCUUUUUGGUGGAUGCAAUGCAGGUGUCAUUGACAUUAGUGUAGAAGGCGAAGCAAGUUUUGCAGGAGUUGUCUGGAAGCCAUCUAUCUUUUUGGGUGAAUAAUCUCUAUAGUUUGUGCAGUUUAUCUCUUUGCAAGGAGUUGCAGGGAGGCAAGACGUAGGCACACCAACCGAAGAAUCACAAAUUGCUGAACAUUUGUCAUCGUCAGUUGAUUUGAAUGGUAUUCUGGUUAGGGAUGAGGUAGAAGCACUAGCUUCUUCACUGGAAGAGAUUUUGUCAAAGCAUGGCUCUGAAAUUGGUGAAAUUGAUUGUUGGGAGCAAACCUUUGGAGAAUUCUGGUAAGCAUUUUCUGCUUCACUUUUUGUAAUUUUCUGGGAGAAGUGCUUCCUGAAAGAUCGCGAGAAAUGAGAUGCCACAACUGUUUGCUGCUUUUCAAGUGCCUUAGUCUCCACAGGCAACGAGGAGUUGCGGAUUUGGCCUACAUGUGCAUUAGCCAAUGUCUCAAUGGGUGAUGAUGAGGUGGGGGCUUUAGUCAUUUCUGAACUCAGAUCUAGCUUUGAUCGGUUGAAAGGCUCUGGCAGCAUUUCCUCAGGAAUUUCAUCACCCUCUGGGUGGGCUUUAUAAAAAUCAGCAAGCCGCGCACGGAAGACCUUCCUUAAAUGCAUAUUCUUACUUUCUGAUUUCAAAUUACUCUCACAUUCAAUUGCAUCUACAUUUACAGUGACAUGAAGAUCUGGCUUCAUACAACUGGUUCGCUCAUCAAACAUAAGCACCCUUUUUAUCUCGAUUGCCUCGGGCAAAAUAAACUUCAAUUGAGCCAAAUGUCGAUGAGAAAAUCUCCUAUCUGUUAAACACUCGAUUUUAGGGGAAAUAUUAGUGAAGGUAGACAUGGAACCCUUCAAUCUCAACAGCCUAAUCGAACUAUCCAAGCUAUCAAAAAACUCACCCAGUAUCUCAUACUUCGCCGGAAUCCUAGCUGGCUCAUCUUCAACGGCAGCAUGCCGUGGCUUAUGCGACUCGCCGGUGGAUUCCUCGGGCCAAGACGAGAUCUGCCUUCGGGCGGACUUCACGAUCUGCUCAGUCUGAUUACAGUGAAUUCCAUCUCGAUUGCCUCGAGCGAUCUUCCUGACCUCUUUUACAGAGAGCGCAACGCGGCGGUUCCGGAGGCGGGAUGGGAGUUCCGCAGGCGGCUUAUCUGGGGUUUGGGUGGUGAUCGCGUUUGCAGGUUUGGAUUUUGGAGUUGAUUGGAGAGAUUUCUUUGAUUUGAAGGGGACUGGAGACAUAGAGGAUCGUGAAGAGCUCAUCCUGCUGAUAGAGAAAUCUGAG
rnacentral:misc_RNA from 1 species